AAUAAACACAGCCUGUCCACUUCUGACUGCAGUAGUGAUCUUCAUUUAGCUUUGCUUUUUGUUUUCUACUAUCACAGCAACAGAUGUCUCAAAUUACAAAGUUCUCUGUCUGUAUUAGGCUGUUGUCAUAUAACAGGACAAAUCUGCUGCCAGAGAUGCCUGCCUCUCUCUUUCUUCAUGAACUAUGAAGACAGUGAAUGAGCAGUUCUGAAACUAAGCUUCCUUUGAAAAUCUGCAGUAGGAACUGUAAAGUGUACUGUAAAUGCCACCCCUUUUCAGGUAGUGCUUCUGAUGAAAAAAAAAAAAAAAAAGUAUUUCUUGAAAGAAAGGAAGGAAAUGCUCCCUACAGCUCUAAGGAACCAGACCCCUGUGAUUCAUGAUGUUACUUCAGUAGUAGACCAUUUCACUUCAUUUCACUUCUCCAGCUUUUGAUAGGCUUCAAUGCAUUGUCUCCUGAUGUUCCUGAAAGUAUGAAGUAUUUUCUGCUAUUUCAAGGUGUUCUCUAGCCUGUCUGCUACAAUAUGAAGAAGGACUCAGUGGCAGCAUUGAAUAAUUAUUUACAGAAGAGGUAAAAAAAAAAUUUUAGUUAUACAAGAGUGUGCAUGUCACACUUGUAGAAAUCUGCACCAGAGGAGGUGACCCACUGUUGCUAUCAUCACUGCUAAAAUGCACCACCCACUGUUUACUGUGCUCACAUCCACUCUUUGAUCUCUAGAAAUGUUCAGCAAGCAUCAGUGAACAUCAAUGGGUGCCAUUUUUUCCGCAUGGAGGGAUUCAGUCACACACUUUUUCUUCAUACGCACUUCCACACCAUUUUAUCAGACUGCUUCUCUGCUGCCAUCUGUCACACAGCAACAAAAUGUAAUGAAAUGUUAAUGGGAAGGUUCAACCUCUACUGCCAUACCACCAUCAACCACUUCUAAUGUCAUGGACCAUUAUAAUAAGAUAGAAGACAUUACUUUUGGAGAAGCUCUCAUACUUUUGUCACAAUAUAAGCUCUUCAUUGCUACUGGCAAUAUCUACUACUACAAGACCUAAAAUAAGUUACAUCUUUCGAGCUGAAAAACUGAUAGCUUGGAUUGGCAGUUUGUGAAAGCGCAUUAUACAGAAGAAGGGAAGAGCUUCAUAUAUUUGCUGACAUUCAGUCUUUGCUCUUGUAUUUUCUAGACUGGCAAAUAAUUGUGGAACAGAGAUGCAUAAAGAAACCUUUCUAAAGGGAGCAGUGGGUCUGUUCUUAAGACUGAUGACAAUUCCUGGCUCUCCAUGGUAUUACUCCUGUCUAAAACACUAUUCUGUAUGUCAUUUCCUACUGCAUGUUUUUCUUUACCUCAAGUCUACUCUUCCCUAGUUUUCUCAUGUAAUAAAGCACUCUAAAAUACACUGUUUGUACUGUUUUGUUUUGUUCUCUUAGACUGUCAGAAGUGUUCUCCCUCCCAGACAUGUGUAUCCUUUACAGAUAAAAUUUUAAAGGUGGGAACAGUAGCUUGGAGGUCACCAUCAAGUCACCC
rnacentral:lncRNA from 1 species